ACCAUUGCUGAGGUUCAGUGGCUUAAAGAUCUUCCAGUGGCACCAAGCUAAAAAUAAAUAGCUGCCUCACUGUGACUCUGGUGCAUUGAAAUGGAAUGGAUAUUCAAAGACAAGCAGAAACAGAAAAUGGGGAAAGUUGUAAGAUGGGAUUUUGCUCAUUUGCCAGGGAUCAGCUUUCUAUGCCUGAAUGCAGAUGGUCACCUGGUCAUAGAAGGAGAUGAAGUUGGUCAGGCAGGACUUGCCUUUCACGAACGCAUGCUGUCUGGGCCUAAUCCUCAGGUUGACCUGCACAUGCUGUGUGAUUGCAUUCAAGAUGACCUGUUCCAUCACCUUCCCUGGCACUGAGGUAAGCUGGAAACCCAACACAUCUCUGUGAUUUUAGGCAAUAAAGCCUGCAGUUUUAACUAACACAUCAAAGGACAUUCAUAUAAAUAAAAGACUAAAUCAAAACAGCAAGUUUUGUAUGCAGUCCCAUUUGAUUGACUGAUGAUGUUAUGCAGCAGGUAGCACAAGUCUGUGUUAAAGCACUAGGCAGUGUGAUUAAUUACCCUGCUUAUUGAUAUGUUGAGGCCAGUUCCUGCUUGUGAGCUUUUUAUGAGCUUUUUGGAAGAUCUAUUGUAACUGCUAAGAUUGGAAGGGAAGAUAGCAUGUCUUUUCCUUUACCAUCUGUGCUUGCAUCUUGCCGUGACUGACAAAUUUAACUGUUGCUGGAUGUUACUGCUGUUGUGUGUUGAUGAUAAUGCUGCUGGCUUGCUGCCCUAGCCUGGCAUCUUCUGCCAGUUUUAGAGGCUUCUGGAUGGUAUUUGUGUGGAUUUUACAGCUUUGCCAUUGCUUGAAUUCUUUAAGAUGUCAUUAAUCAUGUAAUUGUGAACUUAAGUGAGGGUUAGAUUCAGCAAAAGUCUGGAUACUCUGGCCCUGAUGAGGUGAAGAAGUUAGUUUAACUCAAAUUUCAACAAAACUUGUAUGUAUCACUGAAACAUAGAAGCACAGAAUGUUUGUGUUGGAAGGGACCUUAAAGACCGUUAGUUCCACGCC